rnacentral:rRNA from 1 species
AUGCAGUCGAGCGGAAGGCCCUUCGGGGUACUCGAGCGGCGAACGGGUGAGUAACACGUGAGCAACCUGCCCCAAGCUUUGGGAUAACCCUCGGAAACGGGGGCUAAUACCGAAUAGGACUUCUGGCCGCAUGGCUGGUGGUGGAAAGUUUUUCGGCUUGGGAUGGGCUCGCGGCCUAUCAGCUUGUUGGUGGGGUGAUGGCCUACCAAGGCGACGACGGGUAGCCGGCCUGAGAGGGCGACCGGCCACACUGGGACUGAGACACGGCCCAGACUCCUACGGGAGGCAGCAGUGGGGAAUAUUGCACAAUGGGCGGAAGCCUGAUGCAGCGACGCCGCGUGAGGGAUGACGGCCUUCGGGUUGUAAACCUCUUUCAGCAGGGACGAAGCGAGAGUGACGGUACCUGCAGAAGAAGCACCGGCCAACUACGUGCCAGCAGCCGCGGUAAGACGUAGGGUGCGAGCGUUGUCCGGAUUUAUUGGGCGUAAAGAGCUCGUAGGCGGCUUGUCGCGUCGACCGUGAAAACUUGGGGCUCACCCCCAAGCCUGCGGGUCGAUACGGGCAGGGUUAGAGUUCGGUAG